AUACGGAGGGAGCUAGCGUUGUUCGGAAUUACUGGGCGUAAAGCGCGCGUAGGCGGCUUGGCAAGUUGGGGGUGAAAGCCCGAGGCUCAACCUCGGAAUUGCCCUCAAAACUACCAAGCUAGAGUCCGGGAGAGGCAGGCGGAAUUCCUAGUGUAGAGGUGAAAUUCGUAGAUAUUAGGAAGAACACCAGUGGCGAAGGCGGCUUUCUGGACCAAUACUGACGCUGAGGUGCGAAAGCGUGGGGAGCAAACAGGAUUAGAAACCCUAGUAGUCC
rnacentral:rRNA from 1 species